GUUCUGAUUCGUGAAUGGCUAGGAGAUAAUGCAGCAAGUCAGUCUUUUAGGAUGCUUGGCUUAGUGCUCUUUUUACAUAUCAUGCUGACUCUAUCAUAUGCUGCCUACACAAACUUUUUUGUAAAACCAAAGAGUGAUGAUAAAAAAGACUGUAUCAAGUUGUUAUGUGGAUAGUCGGAAGCAGUGCCCCCUUUGCUUAGAAGAACGUUGUCAUUCAUCUGUCACUCCAUGUGGACAUUUAUUUUGCUGGCAAUGCAUUCACGAAAGUCUACAGACUUUGCAACAGUGCCCACUGUGUAGACAUCACGUUUUGCCAUCUCAGGUUGUUCCGCUUCUUAAUUAUGACUAACCAUUCGGAUGACAGUGAAAAUCUGUCUAUUGGAAAGAUUUUUUUGUUAGUAGCUUUAGGUUUUUAUGAGCUCUAUUUUGUUGUUGUUGUUGUUUAUUGUUGUACUAUACUAUUGAUUAUUCAUUAAAGAGAAUACUUCAUCAAUAAAAUGUAUGCAUUCA